rnacentral:lncRNA from 1 species
AUGUCUUAUGUCCCACUUCUAGAGUCCUAGAACCAAAUUAAAGCUAAAGCCAAAAGUACAGAAAGAAGCAAUAAAAGCACACCAAUUUAAUACCUUGGGAGUGUUAUCAUCUGUUGCUUCUGCUUAACUUUUUAUUUAAGUGAUAUGCUGCAAUACAUGGUUUACUUUUUAUAAUUUAAUUACCCUUUUAUUACUGAAUGGCUCCUUGUUUACCUAUCUCUUAUUUAAAGAAAUACUCUCAGGCAUAUUAGGAAGCAUACAAAUAUGUAAACACUUUGAGACAGACCAUCAUGCUGUAACUAUAAAAAGAGGUAAUCUUUGUCAGAAUCAUUUUCCUAAUAUUACCUAAAUUUCCCUGUUACAAAUUAUUUCUUUGUAUUAUAAAUGACAACUAGUUUUUGAAGACUAUUUAAAUCAAGACUCUACUGUGCCCUGUUUGAAUUUUCUUUUCUAAAAUCUGGAUCUUACUAUCAUUUGCCAAAGUGACAUUUUCAACAACUCAGAAACACAGGGAGAAGGAAAAGUGUGCCAGCAUGGGCCGAGUCAAGGAGCCUUGGCUCUAGAGAGGCCAGCUGUGGUAACAGACGGAGACCAUGCCCCUCUACAACAAAAGACUGCUUACUUAUGCAUUGCAUGAUGUUAGUUUAAAUCUGGAAAGUUUGGUCUUGGUUGUACUGGAGGCAGCACUUCCGUUUAAUCCAAGCACUCCUGAGGCAGAAGGAUCUCGGAGUUUGAGACUGGUCUACAAAGCUAAUUCCAUGACAGCCAGGGCUACAAACACACACACACACACACACACACACACACACUUGUUUCUAAAUAAAUUUAGAAAAUUUUAUUAGCUUUGAUACUUAUUGUUCUACCCUGUUUGGUUAAGACAUAGAAAUCAGCUGCCAUUCUUACAAUUAAAGCUUUCAAGAAUUCAGGAUUCUGUAUAGGAUAAACCUUUUAGCAUUUGAUCCACUGCUCUGACAAACCUUGAUCUCAUUUCAACUUCUCAGUUAUUUUUUGUAACUAUCAUAUAUGAGAUAGAUAUUUCAGUUGCCUACUGAAGUACUUGUAAAAUGUUGAGAGUAUCCAAUAAAAUGGAAUAGCUCCCUGAUGAGGAAACUACUUUUGAUUAUUCCAGUUCUGGCAGACUCUGGAUGGGACUCCCUCAAAAAUUUAAAAUAGAAAACAGAACAUAAUACAGAAAGGCUCUUAGCACAAAGAGUUUGGCUUUCUCCUGGUUCCAACAAAUAGCUGAAAUGUUAUAUUAUAUGAAGAACAUAAUCUAAAUCGAAGGUAAUUUUUAUAUAUAGUUCCAGUUCAAAAUAAACUCCAAGAAAUGAAAUUUUUCCUACAUUACAUUCAUAGUUAGUUUUUUAGCUGUUUAUUAUUUAUGUGACUUAAUUCAUUGAUAUGGCAAAUACAAAUGUCAGCAUCCUAUUUCUAAGGCAAGUAUAACUUAUUGCCUGAGAUGUGUUCCAGAAACAUGUUCUGUAAUUUCAUCUUUUCUGUAUGCAUUCCUAUAUUAUUUCCAUAGAACAGCUGAUUUCUAGAGAAACUUGAUAGACUUUUCAGCUAUAAGCUUCUCUGUCCAUAGAGAAAUGUUGAGGCUCACAAUCUUCCUCAUGGGAUAGCCAUCAUGAAAUUACUGUUAUGUUGUGACAUUUAACUCUCCAAGUAAUGGUUUUCUUUUUUUUUCUUUUCUUGCACCAUUUUUUCCUCACAAUCUCAGAUUUCUAAAUAAAAAUGAGACAAGAGGACUGCCUCCUAGUCAUUUUCUCUGUCCAACUAUUUACAAAAUGUAUUACCUAGUUCCUGUUAGUAUCCUAGAAGCAAUAAACUCAUUACGAACAGCAAAUGUAAAACAAGAAAGCAUGCUAUUUAUGCCACUCUCCAUACACAAAUCAUUUCCCAUCAACUAACUUCUUUUCUCUACCCUAAUGGGAGGUAGUUGGUAAGUAUCAACCUCCCUUUAUGGCCAAGGGAACUGAGGUAACAUCUAGAUGUCAAUGAAGAAUCCAGUCCAACGGUAGCUUUGCUUGGUAUUGGAAGAAAUGUGUUUUUACUUGUGUGCAUAUAUGUGCUUUCCAAUGGAUAAUUAAUAAGGAGAUGUCAUUCCAGACAUGCUAGCAACAUAGUCUGAAUUGAUUAUCAGAAUGGGCUGCACUGUUUCUUUAGCAUAGAUGUCCUUCACACGUGCUACAAAGUCAUAAAGAUAAUGCACAUCAAUCCUUUGAGCUUGAUCUUUGGGGAAGCAAAGAAAUUUUAAACACCUCCUUUUUCUAGUAUUCUUUGAAGAGUUUUGGGUUGCAUACAUCAGUCAGAUGCUGUAAUCAUAUCCCUAUUUUAAAGAAAGUUUAGCAGAUCUUAUUGAAAAUCAUUGCUCUUUCUUCUAGUGAAAACAUGAGUUGGACUUUAAAUAAAUGGUAGCUUUGACUACACCAACAUGAGAAGCAUCUGAAUGCCCAUCUUGCUGCUAAUUUCUUUUACUAAAAGUGCAAUGAAGUAUUUAUAUAGCACACGAUAAAAAUAGGAAUGUGUAGAUAUAAUCAUUUUCUUUUUUUCUGGACAGUUGCUGACUGGGUUCCUCUGUGGAAUGUUUUACCCUAGCAAUAUCUGUAGAUGACUCUCCUUUUGCAAAGGCAAAGAUGUUAUUUAACCAUAAAUCAAUUAAUCACAUUGACAUCAACCACAGAAUUAAAACGUCAUCUGGGCACAGUGUUAUCUCUCUUUUCAUUCUCUCUUCCAUUGUAGAUCUCUAUAAUACAUGCAUGGAGAAUGAAAAGGGAUCACAGCCCAUCUCAGGAUGUUCAGACUCACCCAACACUAAAGCAGCAGACCCUGCCAGAAGUCAUUUUUGCUUAUAAGAGACACACAUACACAGUAAAUUUGGGAGGAGCAGACUAAUUCCUUUUAUCAGCUGCACACUUUGCUGGAGUGCAGCUAAUUGAGUUGUCCUGACAGUUUAUUUUGCCAGCCUUUUAAGCCUACAUUAACUUUCAAAUGUAUUUAAAUUUUCUGCCCACGUGACUACUGAUUUGCUGAGCUGUCACAGAGACUUCAGGCUGCAAACAUGUGUUGAAUGUGUCCCUUCACCCAAAUGGAUUCUGUGUCUGAUGUGUUCAAUAUUUGUCCAUCUUAUUUUCAUUUAAAUUGGAAGUUUUGAAACAGGUGUUCCCAUCCGUGUGACAGAAUUGUUUGUGUGUAUUUGUUUCCAGCGUUUCCAUUCCCCUUGGAAAAAAAAAUUGAGAUUAGAAUAUGACAUGCUAAGCCUUUUGAUGGCUCCCAAACCAAGGGUGUUAUUGAACCAGUGUCCUACUGAAUGAUAGACACAGCAUCAGCCAUUGAAAACAGAAUCUCAAUUUUGAGAGCUUGGGGCUACAAGGCCUUGUCUUCCUUUCCAAGCCUAAAAAG